UACGUAGGGUGCGAGCGUUGUCCGGAAUUACUGGGCGUAAAGAGCUCGUAGGUGGUUUGUCGCGUUGUCCGUGAAAACUCACAGCUCAACUGUGGGCGUGCGGGCGAUACGGGCAGACUGGAGUACUGCAGGGGAGACUGGAAUUCCUGGUGUAGCGGUGGAAUGCGCAGAUAUCAGGAGGAACACCGAUAGCGAAGGCAGCUCGCUGGGACGGUACUGACGCUGAGGUGCGAAAGCGUGGGGAGCGAACAGG
rnacentral:rRNA from 1 species